rnacentral:rRNA from 1 species
GACGAACCGUGCGAACGUUGUUCGGAAUCACUGGGCUUAAAGGGUGCGUAGGCGGGUCAUCAAGUCCGGGGUGAGAUCCUCCCGCUCAACGGGAGAAGUGCCUUGGAUACUGGUGGUCUUGAGUGGGGUAGGGGCAUGUGGAACUCCCGGUGGAGCGGUGAAAUGCGUAGAUAUCGGGAGGAACGCCGGUGGCGAAAGCGACGUGCUGGACCCCUUCUGACGCUGAGGCACGAAAGCCAGGGGAGCGAACGGG